CCAUGACCCUAGAAAAAGCCUAGAGAAAACAACCUCUUUACGAGACAUACCUUGCAAUAGAUGUUUGUUUAACUGGAAAUCCACAAGAGCAGCUGCCCAGUGCAACGGUACAUAUUUGCUUCUGAAUCCUUUCUCAAAGACACUAUUUAAACAUGCUGAUGAACUGAGCUGGAUUUUCCCCCACCUCCAUUCCAGUAAAAUAAGGAGACUCAGAAGAUAAAAUUUGUUUUGCUAUUGCAAGUAGUGCUAUGUGAACUGUUUCUGCAAUCAUUCUACCUCCAAAGCCAAAGGAAUUGGGAAUGACCAUAGCUGAGGUGGUGUCACUCAUCUUCUCCUCCACCACUGGACAAUGAUCUAAUGAUUCACAUUUAUGAUCUGAGUUUCUCCAUCCAACCAUGCUCUUCCUGACUUUUGAGGAAGAUGUGUCUGUUCAGCCACACUGUUUAUCCACUUCAGAAAUGACCAUCCACUCUUACUGCCUGACAUGAAGCACAGAAGAAGGUAUUUCAUUUAAAAGUACAGCUUUUACAAGGUCAACAUGAAAACACACAUGUACAGGAUUAAAUAAGAGAUGUGAACUCACCAUAGCAACCCCUGCAUCACAUUGCAGAUAUGCUGCUUCUAAGAUACGGCAAAUGUAUCUGAAGAAAUACACAUGAAUAUGAGAUUUCACUUGUAGAGGAGGAGCACCCAUUUUCUCACACUGCCUGAGAUGACCGAUGAAGAAGACAGCAAGUAUUCUGGACUGACACAUGUAGUUGUCUCCAUACUUUCUUUCAUCAGUGUUCAAGGUUUUGUCUCUGUGGUACAGAAAUGCAGGAACCCUAAAUAAAUUUUGAAUAUUUUUGGUAGCAGAGGUUUAAUUAAAACCUCAAAGGUUUUUUUAGGCCCAAAAACCUCAUUGCCAAUCUGCAUAUCUACAUUUUAUCAGAAAGAAAAGGUUUUUUAUUCUUUCAAGCCAACAAGUUUGUUCAUUGAAGAUGUUAAAAAAUCUGUUUAAGAAAUCUACUGAUAAAACACAUCCCGUUACAUGCAACUUAUUUUCACUACAACACCACUUCUCCAUUGGUUUGCUGUAUUUUUUCAGAGGGUUAUUUAUACUUGGGGUAAGGGUUGAUGUACAGUGACUGAAUGGCUGGUCCCUGGUGUUUCUGUGCACUGGGGACAUGCUCUGGUCCCAGGUAACCCUGGUUAUGAUGGGGUUCAAGGGUUCACCUUUCCCAUGAGUUGGGUUCCAAGUCUUUCUUGGUGGAGCUCCUGCCCUGGCUGUGUUUCCUGGGAUGGUGCCUUGAUUUUGGUGGGAGCUGAGGCUGACUGCCCCAGAGCCUGGGAGAACUGUUUGGCUUAUACACUCACCAGGACUGCUGGCCUCCUCCCAGCUGUGCAAGGAGUUGUAUUUAAUCUCUGGUUUUUAUUCCCUCGCCAUGGCUACCUAGUGGUGCAAAACGUGCAGCUGCUGAGGUGAGAAGGGGUGGUUCAGCCAGCAUGGGUGACACAAAAUGCCUGCCUGAGAAGCUGCCUGACAAUUUCCACCUUUGCUAUCAUUCAAAACUCCCUUUAAGCUGAUCACUGUGCUUAGUUUUGACUGUCCCUUUGCUCACCUUAGGGAUAAUGUUAAUUGUGACUCUGUGCUGGCAGAGAUUGCCACAGGGUAUUUGUGCUCUUCCUUGGCUUCUUUAUGUCUGUAGUCCUCCUAGGUUUUUUGGCUUGUUUGCGGUUGGAUUUUUGUUUGUUUUUUUGCCUGGCUGAUUGAUUCAAGAUACACCACCACAAGUUUAUGAGCUCCUGAAAUGGGGAGUUGCUGGUUGUGGUCCUCAGAUGACUGAAAUGCUAAUAAUAAUGCAGCCAAAACAUAUUUAUUAUGAAACAAUCACAUUCUAGAUUACUUCUCAUGAUCCAGGUUUACACUCUUACUUCAGUUUAACUGAUGGAAAAACCUAGUGACCAUGGCAUUGAGUUUCUAAUAUUAGAUUGAGACCCUUGUGAUUAACUAUCACAAGGAUAUAACCACACUUGCACUUGCUAUUGUAAAUCCAGAUCACUAAAACCCCUCACAAACUGCAUCAAAAUGAGAAAUGUCUGCCUACAUGGCUCUCCAAACCAACAUGACCAAUGUGUACCAUUUUCUGAAACUAGUGACAGUCACCCAUGUGAUGUGGCCAGCAUCACAUUCAGCUGUCUUUGAGACCCUGCAUUCAACAGAGUUUCUAUUUAUAACUAUUCCUAUUUAUUGAAAAUGGCCUUUGGCACCAGGACAAACCAGAGCUUGGUCUUUGGUCUCUGGAUCCACUAGGGAGAGCCCUGUCUGUCUCCCACACUCUACCUUUACCCUGUACAAAACAACAGCCACUUAUGGAGCUGUGGAAAUGGUUCAUGACUUCCUGUAGAUAUUCACUGGGUGAACUCAUUCAUUAAAAGUAAAAUCACAUCCCCUUCCCUCAUUAUCCUUCCCUCACAAAAAUGCAUUUCAUCUUGACUUUUCUCCCACCUGCCUCAUUCCUGAUGGAAGUAAUCUAUUCCACAUAUUACAACCUGGUGUUAAAACUAUUGUUUUAUAGUGCUUCAUGUUUAAUUUUUCUUAAAACUGAAUUUCUUAAUCUUUUUAAUGGGAAGAAAAAUCAUCAGCUUUGUAAAAAUGAAAAGUCAGCAUUACAUGGCUCAGAGAAGUACCAUAAAUCUUUUGCUAUUGCUAUUUCCAUCUCAGAUUUCUGGACAGCAUGACUUAUUACUUGCUGUAACUGUGUUUUUGCAUAGUGUUUUCAACUGAAAUAUUUCAAAAAGAAUGUUUCUUUCUCUUUUGCAGUGAACAUUUCUGUUUGACAUCAUACAGUAAUUCCUCAUCCAUGGUGCUUGAAACAAGCGAGCAUUAAGGAUUGAUAUAAUAUGUGGCUCACUGCUGCUCCUCACACCACCCAAGGGAAUGGGAUACCCUGAGAGAUGAACAGAUUUAGAAAACAACUAAAAAUAACUAAACUUCUUUCCCAGAUUUGUACAAAUGGUCCCUUUUUAACACUGAACUCCAUAAUCAAAUUUACCAAUUCACAUUUCUUCCCUUAUUUAUGUUUCUUUAAAAUUUGCUUGGCUUUUGUUGUUUUGUUUUGUUUAUUUUUUCAGGUUUGGGUUUUUUGGCUUUUUUUUGGCUAUAGGGUUGGCUUCUUGUUUGUUUGUUUGCAGCUAUUUGAUUUAAGGGAACAAAGAGAUCAAAUAAUCCUCAGGUAUUUUUCUUACUGGAAGAAGUCUGUGUAAGUUCUUUUACUAUCCUUUUCCUUGUCACUGCAGGAAAAUUUCCAUAGAUUAUCAUUACAGAUAUAUUUUACAAUGAAGAAAUGAGUAACACAACACAAACACAUCCAUUCUCUUAAUUGAACAACCUACAGCUUUUUGGCUGAAACAAACAAUAAUAUUAUUUAUAACUCAAAUUACAUUCCACAAACUAUGUUCUCAUCUAUAAAGAGACUAUAAAUGGCAUGGUAGGGUUUCAUAUCGGUUUUUCUUUUUUUUUUUCUCCAAUGACUUUCCUGUUGACCCCUCUUUUAAUUUACAAAUAAAACCUUGACUUUCUUGACUGCCAGCACUGAAAAAUCCACCCUGGGAUCUGAGAUCACGCUGUGUCGUUUCUGCUUUAUGCCAAAAUAGACUCUGGUUCACCUCCUGAGUGCUGAGGUGGCUCUGCAGGGCUGGGAAGAAUGUAAAGAAACAACAGUAGUUUUGCCAGUAAAAAGAUAAAGUGAAUGAAUUCUCUCAAAAGUAGGAAGAUACCAAUUUUCAAGUCAGCUUUAUAGAAAACAGCUGUUCUUUGAAACAAAUGCUCAUAGGAGGGUUGGGGUGGGACAUCUCAUUGCUUGCUGUUCCUGCACAACCUUUUCCCAUUCGGUCUUUCCAGUUCAGCCUGUAGAUCAAUCCAGCUGAGGUGUUUGUGGCUGUGGCUGCAUAGCCUUUUUCCCUGUCAGCAGUGCUGGACUCUUGUGUUUCUGCCCUCUUGGAGCUGUUUGUGCCCUGAUGCUUGUAUUGAUGUUGAGACUUUUGCGUGCAUUGGGUGGAGGGGUGUCCUGUGGAGGUCCCAAGCUUAUCUCUUUCAAGCCAGGUCCCAACACAGCUCUGCAAACAGUUGGGCUGUCUUGGAUAUAUGCUCACCCUUCUGCUUCUG